AUACAUACAUACACACACAGACACAUACACUGACAGACAUACUGACUGACACACACAUACACACACAGACAUACUUACAUACACACACAGACAUACUGACACACAAAGACAUGCUGACACACACACACAGACAUACUGACAUACACACAGACAGGCGUACUGGCACAUACACACAGACAGACAUUAAAACAUUCACAGAUACAUACUGACACACACAUACACUGACACACAAAUAUAUCCUGGCAGACAUACUGACACACACGUACACACACACACACAGAGACAUACCUACAUACACACACACAGACAUACUGGCAUACACACAGACAUACUGACACACACACACACACUGACAUACACACACAGACAUACUGGCAUACAAACAGACAUACUGACACACACACACCCACACACACACACUGACAUACACACACAGACAUACUGGCAUACACACAGACAUACUGACACACACACACACACACAGACAUACUGGCAUACACACACAGACAUACUGGCAUACACACAGACAUACUGACACACACACACACAGACAUACUGGCAUACACACAGACAUACUGACACACACACAAACACACAGACACACUGACACACACACACAGACAUACUGGCAUACACACAGACAUACACACACACACAGACCUACUGAC